AACAAGCAUGAAUAAACCCUAAACCCCCAAAUCAAUUCCCAGAUAUCUCAUGGUUUCAUUAUGAUUCACAGGUACAUGGUAGUUAUGAAUUAAAGACAGAAAAAGCUAAAGCGCAAAUCGAAUGAAGAAAUAAAAACCUAGGUUUUUGUGUGACUACUUUUGAGUAAUUUUUGGACAGAUUGAAGCAGCGUUUUGGACUAUUUUGCUUGUUGCUGUUUUAUUGCUUUUCGAAUGCAGGUUUCGCUUGGUCUAUUUUCGUGUAAAGUUUGGACUAUUAGGGACUGUUUUUGCAGGUAGUAGUAUGCAGGUUGUUGAACAGCAUCAACACAUUGGAGCAACAUAAUUUUUUUGGAGUUUUGUGGCUAUUCUUUUGCAGUGGGCAUGAUGUUGAUGAUGGAUGAGGCAAUGGAUUAUGGAGACCGAUGAUGACAUGAAAACAAUUCUUAACUUGUUUUUUUUCUUUUGCUGUAACUUAUAUUAUAUGGUUAAUAUAAUACAAAUCAAAGUGUAAGGAGAAAGUUUACCAUUUAAUUAAAAUAAUUAUUCACUUGAUAA